rnacentral:rRNA from 1 species
CACCACAGCCAUAUCACCCUGCAGCCCAAGACUGGUUGCCCACUGAACCUAAGCAGGGCUGAGCCUGACUUUCACGUCGCUGCGGAGG